UACGUAGGGGGCAAGCGUUGUCCGGAAUCAUUGGGCUUAAAGCGCGUGUAGGCGGAUUCGUGCGUCUGUCGCUGAAAUCCCCCGGCUCAACCGGGGAAGUGGCGUGGAUACGACGAGUCUGGAGGGGCAUAGGGGGACCUGGAACUUCCGGUGGAGCGGUGAAAUGCGUUGAGAUCGGAAGGAACGCCCGUGGCGAAAGCGAGGUCCUGGAUGCCUACUGACGCUGAGACGCGAAAGCCAGGGGAGCGAACGGG
rnacentral:rRNA from 1 species